UUAGCUGCUGAAGAAGGAGAGUCGCAUUCAGCCAGGGAUCACUGAGCAUUGAAAAGUCCAUCUGAGACCUGCUUUCAUUGCACUGCCUCGUGAGGAGCUGUAGGAGAAGAUAUCAUAACUAUUCCCCACUUCUAAUUGUUAGAAGCAACAGCUGUCUAUCAAGAACAAUCUGAGGAUUGUGCACAAAUUGAUUUGGGUCUAUCAAGUGCUGGCUUUCGAUUCCAGUCUGACUUCACUACCACAGGAGCUUCUUGCUCAGGCUUCUGUUCCGGCUCCAUUCUCUCCCUGCCAUUAUAAUGCCAUCCACUGCAGCACCAUCUCUUCAAUCAGUCUUCAGAAAUGCAAAUUGCUGCCUUCAGAAGGAAGCACACGGGCCUAUGAAUUUUAUAUCAGCAGGGAUUACCAAUGAGUCAUGCUUGAUGUUGUAAAAACUAUUCAGGAACCAAGAAAAGGGGCAGAAUAAGUGAGAGAAUGAACGAGAAUGAAAAAAAGAAUAGAACCAGUCGGCCAGUGACAUUUUCUAGUGAAACACAUAUGGGAUGCAAGAAAAGGACUCAGAAAAGCCUUGGGAGUAAAUAUUGAAAUGAUCUUGAAUGAUUUGGCAGGAGAAGAUGUGUCAGCAGGGCUUACCGUAUAGCUCCGAAGGAUGGUGAUGACGACACCACAGACCAAGAUAGUUUACAAAGGCUUAAUGGAGCUCAGAUAUUUGAGAAAAAAAAAAAAAAGAUUAACCAUAUUCAGCUGAGAAAAGGGAACACAAACACAUCUGGGGAAAGUAAUCUUAAAUAAAGAUACUCAGAUGGAGAAAAACAUGUGUCAAGCCUGGACCUGGAGUAAAAGCAAAACAUUCAUGAUCUCAUUCCACCUGAAGCCAGUGCCUCUGUAAUGUGUAGCAGAAUCCUAUGGAGAAGUUGUAAAAACACAAAAUGUUGGCCCCACCCCAAGAGUUUCUGAUUUUGCAGGUCUGGAGAGGGCCUGUGAUACGUACUUCUAACAAGCUCCCAGGCGAUGCUAAUGUUGCUGGUCUAGAAACACACUUUGAGAGCCACUGUUUUACAAUGUAUUCACCCAGCUUAUGCAAUCAACUACUAUCACAGCAAAGUCCAAAGAAUGCUCCUUAUUUGUUUGUUAUACUGGAGUUUGGCUUGGCUAAAUAUUAUUUGAAACUGAAUGGCU
rnacentral:lncRNA from 1 species